CUACUUUUUGGCCUUUUUCUCUGGUUCUCUGUAUCCAUGGCACUGCAAAUAUAGCAAAAUAUUGUUCCAUAUCCACGGUAGCAGCAAACUACCACUUUGCAACUCCCUCAUUCCCUAGGUAUAAAGAAAUCUUCAGCUCCACGACGAGGUACCAUGGUAAUCGUUAAAAAUUUUGUUGUUUUGGAUUAUACUUGGCUACAAACAGAAAGGAAUAAAGUUCUAUAGAAAUUCAUUAAAUGAACCUUGAAUUUGAUUAGUUUUAGUCAGUCGAAUGAGAAAACUGAAAACGAAAAAUCUCAUCUUUUUUGUUGCUGAAAGAACUUAAAAUGAAAAAUAAAUAGAAGAAUGAGGAAGAGGGAUUAAUUUUGUCGACUCUAAAUUUAUGGGAAUAAGACCAAAUUUGUUGUUGUCGUAUUGUUUUUAAAGAGCUUUGCUGAAUCUGAAGUGCUUUUUUAGUAGGAGAAUUGGGGGCUGCAGAGUAAAUGUAUGGAAAGCAAAGUUGUCAGAGUUAAAUGCUAAGAAAGCAAAUCUUUCUGCAAGAAAGAAGGGAAGGAUAAGGCUUUCAAAUUAUGUUGAUGAUGGCACUGGAGGCAAGAAUAGUCAUCAUAUAAGUGAAUUUCUUUGUCAUCCUCGUGGG
rnacentral:lncRNA from 1 species